CCUACGGGAGGCAGCAGUGAGGAAUAUUGGUCAAUGGACGCAAGUCUGAACCAGCCAUGCCGCGUGCAGGAAGACGGCUCUAUUAGUUGUAAACUGCUUUUGGACGGGGGUAAACGCAGAUACGCGUAUCUGUCUGAAAGUAUCGUACGAAUAAGGAUCGGCUAACUCCGUGCCAGCAGCCGCGGUAAUAAGGAGGAUUCAAGCGUUAUCCGGAUUUAAUGGGUUGAAAGGGUGCGUAGGCGGUCGGAUAAGUUUGAGGUGAAAUCCCGAGGCUCAACUUCGGAAUUGCAUCUGAUACUGUUCGGCUAGAGAGUAGUUGCGGUAGGCGGAAUGUAUGGUGUAGCGGUGAAAUGCUUAGAGAUCAUACAGAACACCGAUUGCGAAGGCAGCUUACCAAGCUACUUCUGACGUUGAGGCACGAAAGCGUGGGGAGCAAACAGGAUUAGAUACCCUUGUAGUC
rnacentral:rRNA from 1 species